rnacentral:lncRNA from 1 species
UGGAUUAAUUCUUAGUGAGCAGCAGACUGUCACAACUCUAUAUCUUAUGCAAAUUCAAUUUCUUCAUCAUCUUCUUUCGUCGUUUGAUACGGUAGUCCUCAUGUAUAUUACCUAGUGUUUCAGUAUUGUUAAAAAGUGAGAACAUGAUUGAUUUCAGAAAUUCUUAAAAGGAAACAAACCAAGGUCCAAUUAAAACUUGGUAGGAGUCUUAAAAUUGGGGAAAGAGUGUUGAAGUAGUUAGGUUUUAAUUUCUUAGUUAUUUUAGCCAACGUUUACGACUUUAUAUUAGGCCCAAACUUCUAUUCUUUUUAGGCACAAAUUUUUUUUUUUUUCUUCGAGUAAAAAGAAACAAACAAUUAAUAGGGAAUGCAAAGCAUCCUGCACAACACAAGACGUUUUGGGCUUAUUCACAGCUUCCCUAGCCGAAGCAUUCUCCACCCAGUUACAAUUUAUAGAGAUCCUCUCAUCCUCUCAUUACCUUUUUUUAAAAAAAAAUAGACCUCUUUUAUUGAUAUCAUCAUAGCAAUACAUCAUAGUCGGGGAGGUAAGGUCUUCCAUACAUGAAAACUGGAGUAAGAUCGGGCAUUCCUAGUAAUCCGGUGUGCCACUGCGUUUUCUUGUUGUAUGAUCCAGUUAUCGGAAAUGUUGUCUCAGAGUUUACGAUAAACCUAAAUUCGGAGUUGUUCGGGAUCUCGGGAGCUGAUGGCGGCUGCUACGUUUUAGGCAUCCAUCUCCAAUAUGCCAGGUCCCAUCUCUCAUUGCUCUGUAAAGUACAUUUUUGAUAUAAUUAUAUAUUUU